rnacentral:tRNA from 1 species
GGCAUAGCACGUUGGCGACGAACUCAUAAUCCUUUGGUUGAAGGUUCGAAUCCUUCUGGGCCCACCA